rnacentral:snoRNA from 1 species
AUGGCCCUGAAUCAAGGCUAGCAGUUUGCUAAAGCUGUUGAUUUCAAACGGGAGCCAAAAAAAAAUGUCUUUCUAUGGUCUUUUGACCAUUUCAGGCUUUUGGAAAUGUAAUGUUUAAUUCAUUAGAGACAUUUGAAA